rnacentral:rRNA from 1 species
UAGGGAAUCUUCCGCAAUGGACGCAAGUCUGACGGAGCAACGCCGCGUGAGUGAAGAAGGAUUUCGGUUCGUAAAACUCUGUUGUUAGAGAAGAACAGCGCAUAGAGUAACUGUUAUGCGUGUGACGGUAUCUAACCAGAAAGCCACGGCUAACUACGUGCCAGCAGCCGCGGUAAUACGUAGGUGGCAAGCGUUGUCCGGAUUUAUUGGGCGUAAAGCGAGCGCAGGCGGUCAAUUAAGUCUGAUGUGAAAGCCCCCGGCUCAACCGGGGAGGGUCAGUGGAAACUGGUUGACUUGAGUGCAGAAGAGGAGAGUGGAAUUCCAUGUGUAGCGGUGAAAUGCGUAGAUAUAUGGAGGAACACCAGUGGCGAAGGCGACUCUCUGGUCUGUAACUGACGCUGAGGCUCGAAAGCGUGGGUAGCAAGCAGG